rnacentral:lncRNA from 1 species
AAAAAAACAUUAUCCUGAUCCCUCAUCCCACAGUUUCAAGGUCUGAAAUAUCUACUUCUGUCUCCUCUUGCAGACACGAGAAAUAAUACAGCCAAGGAAAUGCCUGAAAGCCUUUUUCUCAUGCAUGGAUCUAGGCUAAUUGAACAGGGCAAAGGUUCCACUUUUAAGCAAUCAUGUGCCUGAAAAGACACCACCCCCCAGACAGAAAUGACUUCAGUGUGUUCCAUUCUGCACAUGAUGGACAUCAAUGAUUUUUUUUCCUCAAAUAAUACUUAAUGUUGGCACACUGAUUCUGGCUGUAUGAGAAAAGGAAUGAAUACAGAGGGACUGCUGAGAAGAAGGAGGGAUGAACAGUGAGUGUUCUUCCAAAGUGCUUCCAGGUUCUGUACUCCUUUGGCAUGAGAGCUGGCUGAAGAGUGCCCAGGGUCCAGAGCUGGAGUAUGGUCAUCCAGCUCCCAGCCUGACUUGUACAACAGCCACGGAGACAUCUUCAGACCAAUCUGGUUUGCUGGGAAAGUGUGGAGGUAUGAGCAACUUUUCUAGGAUAAAGACAGGAAUGUUUCAAGUUGCUGUUGAAACAAUAGUAAACUGCAUUGCCCGUGCAUUUGGGACAGAACACUACUCACAGAAGCAUGAAUAUACUUGCACAGACAUUAAAAAUGUAAGCAUCUGUGAAGCUCCUUCCUUCCUUCCUUCCUUCCUUCCUUCCUUCCUUCCUUCCUUCCUUCCUUCCUUCCUUCCUUCCUUCCAGUUUCUACAUAUAGUGCGUAUUCUGUCUGAUUACCAAAAUAUAUAGAAGCCACCCAUUGGCUGCUUAAUCAUAUCUUUUUUUGAUGGUGUGUGUCAGAACAUGUAGCAUUACCAUCAUAUUUGCUAUUUGCUUGUAAUACACUAAUGCAUUAAUCCCUUACCUAAAUGGUCUGUACAGGCACAUAGUAGACUGGAAAGUUUUCUGUGCUAACAAGAGAAGGCAAAAAUAAGUAAUUCAUCAUUGGAGUGAUUCUUCAAACAGGGAUACAUGUAAUAUAGUCAUUUGAGUCAUGCUGGCUCAAGUUCAGCAGGACUGGUAAGGAAUAAGACUAGCUAAAUGUUCUUCAUCUGGACUACAGAUGCUCUUUAAGGGCAUCCCAGGGGACUCUGUCCUUGCAGAUGGAAAGAAGGAAAGAGGGUGCCUUACUUUCUAGUCCACUAUCCAAGAAAGCUGUAAAGAUAAAGGAAGAAGGCAGGAUGGUAAGCA